rnacentral:rRNA from 1 species
GAUAAACGCUGGCGGCGUGCCUAAUACAUGCAAGUCGAGCGAACGGACGAGAAGCUUGCUUCUCUGAUGUUAGCGGCGGACGGGUGAGUAACACGUGGAUAACCUACCUAUAAGACUGGGAUAACUUCGGGAAACCGGAGCUAAUACCGAAUAAUAUUUUGAACCGCAUGGUUCAAAAGUGAAAGACGGUCUUGCUGUCACUCAUAGAUGGAUCCGCGCUGCAUUAGCUAGUUGGUAAGGUAACGGCUUACCAAGGCAACGAUGCAUAGCCGACCUGAGAGGGUGAUCGGCCACACUGGAACUGAGACACGGUCCAGACUCCUACGGGAGGCAGCAGUAGGGAAUCUUCCGCAAUGGGCGAAAGCCUGACGGAGCAACGCCGCGUGAGUGAUGAAGGUCUUCGGAUCGUAAAACUCUGUUAUUAGGGAAGAACAUAUGUGUAAGUAACUGUGCACAUCUUGACGGUACCUAAUCAGAAAGCCACGGCUAACUACGUGCCAGCAGCCGCGGUAAUACGUAGGUGGCAAGCGUUAUCCGGAAUUAUUGGGCGUAAAGCGCGCGUAGGCGGUUUUUUAAGUCUGAUGUGAAAGCCCACGGCUCAACCGUGGAGGGUCAUUGGAAACUGGAAAACUUGAGUGCAGAAGAGGAAAGUGGAAUUCCAUGUGUAGCGGUGAAAUGCGCAGAGAUAUGGAGGAACACCAGUGGCGAAGGCGACUUUCUGGUCUGUAACUGACGCUGAUGUGCGAAAGCGUGGGGAUCAAACAGGAUUAGAUACCCUGGUAGUCCACGCCGUAAACGAUGAGUGCUAAGUGUUAGGGGGUUUCCGCCCCUUAGUGCUGCAGCUAACGCAUUAAGCACUCCGCCUGGGGAGUACGACCGCAAGGUUGAAACUCAAAGGAAUUGACGGGGACCCGCACAAGCGGUGGAGCAUGUGGUUUAAUUCGAAGCAACGCGAAGAACCUUACCAAAUCUUGACAUCCUUUGACAACUCUAGAGAUAGAGCCUUCCCCUUCGGGGGACAAAGUGACAGGUGGUGCAUGGUUGUCGUCAGCUCGUGUCGUGAGAUGUUGGGUUAAGUCCCGCAACGAGCGCAACCCUUAAGCUUAGUUGCCAUCAUUAAGUUGGGCACUCUAAGUUGACUGCCGGUGACAAACCGGAGGAAGGUGGGGAUGACGUCAAAUCAUCAUGCCCCUUAUGAUUUGGGCUACACACGUGCUACAAUGGACAAUACAAAGGGCAGCGAAACCGCGAGGUCAAGCAAAUCCCAUAAAGUUGUUCUCAGUUCGGAUUGUAGUCUGCAACUCGACUACAUGAAGCUGGAAUCGCUAGUAAUCGUAGAUCAGCAUGCUACGGUGAAUACGUUCCCGGGUCU